AUCAAUUAAAAUGUACCACUCAAGUUCGGUGUCAACUAAAUUCUGUUGUAAGAAAAGCUCAUAGAGUUGGCAGGUCAACUGGUGGCACGAAACUGUGUCCACAGCUUCUUAAAUCUAAUAUCUACUAGACCUUUCCUUUUAAAAGAAAUCCUGAGAAAAUUAUUUAUUUAUGUCUGCUGUAUGGCAUGUUCAAUGAGUGGAAUGCUCUGCGCGUCUUUUUGAGCUUGGAAUCAAUAACCACAAUGAUCAGUAUAGCUUGUGCUCUUUCUUUUAAAGAAUUAAGGUGUUUAAACAUAUCACAAGGAUGAGUGUUCGAAAAUGACAUGCCUUCAAUAGAGAAGAUGAGAAUAAGAAAGAAAAUCAAAGUGAGUAAGAGACACAACUCUGCGUUUUUUGUCUUCUUGGUU